rnacentral:lncRNA from 13 species
CUUUGCCUCUUGCUUGGAAACUCCAGCUUCACUUCCCCUCGAAAUGGACCCCAACUGCUCCUGCUCCAGUAGUGGCUCCUGCGCCUAUAUGCCAGCUUCUGCAAAUGCAAAGCAUGCACAUGCACCUCUUGCAAGAGGAGCUGCUGCUCCUGCUGCCUUAUGGGCUGUGCCAAGUGUGCCCAGGGAUGUGUCUGCAAAGGGAUGUUGGACAAGUGCAGCUGCUGUGCCUGAGGUGGGGAAAGCCCUGCUCCCAGAGGUAGAAAGUGUCCAAACUUGGAAUUGUUUUCCAUACAAUCCUGACCCAAUAGGGCAUUUGU